rnacentral:rRNA from 1 species
ACAUAUAAGUUGUAGGGAACUGAAAGGACCGACCUUCGGGGAGCUUGCACAGGUGCUGCAUGGCUGUCGUCAGCUCGUGUCGUGAGAUGUUCGGUUAAGUCCGCUAACGAGCGCAACCUCGCUGUGUGUUAUAUGUGUCACACGGGACUGCCGGUCUUAAGCCGGAGGAAGGUGGGGAUGACGUCAAGUCAGCAUGGCCUUUAUAUCCUGGGCUACACACACGCUACAAUGGGAAGGGACAAUAGGUUGCGAAGCCGCGAGGCGGAGCCAAUCCAGCAAAACUUCCCUCAGUUCAGAUUGCAGGCUGCAACUCGCCUGCAUGAAGUUGGAGUUGCUAGUAAACGCAGGUCAGCCAUACUGCGUUGAAUACGUUCCCGGGGCUU